rnacentral:lncRNA from 10 species
CCCUUUUCUCAUGGGGCAGACAGAGGAGGCGGGUGGAAAAGCAGCUUGGGUGGUGGUGGAAGCCCAGGCUUGGCACUGGGUUCUAGGUCCUGGCUGGGAGGCUUUGGCAGCCUGCUAACCUCUCCCUCCUCAGUGUUAGACUCCAGCUUGAAUAGUAAAGCAACUGGGUUUGUUUUGUUUUGUUUUACCUAAGAAGUUGCACGCCUCACACAAAUUUUUAGCAUAUGCGAGGUUUUCACACUUUCACCCUGGCAAGACACCUCAGCCAUCUGAUUAAAGAAAUGCUCCAUUUCCAUGACCCUUGAUUAACUCAGUUCAUGAAGCAACCUUUGAUCACCUAUUCUGUGCUCAGUACAAAGCCACAGAGAUGGAAAAAACACAGUCCCUGCCCUCCGGUUACUUGCAGCCUGGUGAUGCCACCGAGCUUUGGGGUCAUGCGCCUCACAGCCUGGUUAGAAUCUGCCCUCCACCACUUGCCAGCUCUGUGACCCAGGGCUAGGUGCUCGACGUCUAUGAACCUCAGUUUCCUCAUCUGUAAAAU